rnacentral:rRNA from 1 species
GACAGAGGUUGCAAACGUUGUUCGGAAUCACUGGGCAUAAAGCGCACGUAGGCGGUCUGUUAAGUCAGGUGUGAAAGCCCCCGGCUCAACCGGGGAAUAGCAUUUGAUACUGGCAGACUCGAGGAUGGUAGGGGUGAGUGGAACUCCAGGUGGAGCGGUGAAAUGCGUAGAUAUCAGGAGGAACACCAGCGGCGAAGGCGGCGCUCUGGGCCGGUACUGACGCUGAGGAGCGAAAGCGUGGGUAGCAAACAGG